GGCGAACGCUGGCGGCGUGCUUAACACAUGCAAGUCGAACGGAAAGGCCCUGCUUGCUGGGUACUCGAGUGGCGAACGGGUGAGUAACACGUGGGUGAUCUGCCCUGCACUUCUUGAUAAGGUUGGAAAACUGGGUCUAAUACCUGAUAGGAGCCACCAUUAGCGUGGUGGUUGAAAAGUUUUUUCGGUGUAGGAGGAGCUCGUGGCCUAUCAGCUUGUUGGUGGGGUAAUGGCCUACCAAGGCGGCGACGGGUAGCCGGCAUGAGAGGGUGUACGGCCAGAUUGGGACUGAGAGACAGGCCAGAGUGCGGAGGGAGGGACAAGUGGGGCAAAUUGGACACAGGGAGACAGCCUGAUGGAGCGACGCCGCGGGGGUGUUGAAGGCCUUCGUGUUGUAAAAAAAUUUGGCUAGGGACGAAGCUUUGUUGUGACGGUACCUAGAUAAGAAGCACCGGCUAACUACGUG
rnacentral:rRNA from 1 species